UGGACAACAAUGCCAAAUAGGAGGUUCUCUUGGCAAGUCAAUAAACUACUGAAGCUGAGCCCUUUGCUUUAUCAGUGGAUCAAAUUGCGAGUCUCCAAUGGAAUUAACUGUCGAUUUUGGACUGAUAACUGGUCUUCUCUUGGCAGUAUGAGGCAGUAUCUCCAACUAGGAAACACUUCACUAGGGAUUUCAGAGCAGGCAACUCUGGCUACCCUCUACACUAAUGGUGGUUGGCAGAUACCCCCUGCUCGCUCUGAGACACAAGUUCAGGUUCACGCCAUUCUCACUACUCUGCACCUAAACGAAGAAGAUGAUUAUUAUGUCUGGGAGAUUGAAGGAAAGACUACAACAAAAUACUCAAUUGGGCAAGUGUAUGAUCACCUGAGGAUUCAUGAAGCUUCAGUUCCUUGGCACCAAUCGGUCUGGAACAAGGGAGGGAUCCCGAGGCAUAGCUUUCUCUCUUGGCUACUAGUGCUGAACAGGUGCCCGACUAGGGACAGAAUCAUAGGUUGGGGCCUUCCUACCUCACCCCUCUGUCUGCUCUGUAAUCUGCAAUGUGAAAGUCGAAACCACCUUUUCUUUGAAUGUCCUUACACCUGGAGUAUCUGGAGUGUCCUUUUCCGGCGGUGUGGAUUUCAACCGGAAAGAGACUGGACUAGAGUACUGGAGCAGCUUCAACGUCAAAACCGAAGAUCUCCGAUUGGUAUCCUCUCCCUACUUUGCUGGCAAUCUUGUCUCUACUGGUCUUGGUCUGAAAGAAAUACAAGAUUGCACCUGAACGUUUUCCGUUCACCUGAUUCGCUUAUCAAACGUAUUGAUAGGCAAAUUAGGGACAGGAUUCUCUCUCUCCGAAGUGCUAACCCCUCAUCUUCCUCGGUCAUGAUGCAGCAAUGGCUGUCCUGAUUCUGUUGUUGUUUUCUGAUCGCUAGCUCCACCACCCCUUUUGCCUCACCGUCACGUCUUUUUUCUCUUCACCGUCACGACUACGGAGUGCGUCUCCUCCUCUUCCCGUUAAUUCCUAUGCUUCCUAGUGGGCCUUAGUUUGAUAUUAACUUAUGAUUCUUGAUUGGGUUGUGUUUGUUGUCUGGGCUGGGCUCUUGCAAGAAAAAACUGAAGCUUUUCAGCUUGUAAACUUUUAUUUUCUCCUUUACGUUUUUAAUAUGAAAAAUCAGUUGCAAAAAAAAA
rnacentral:lncRNA from 1 species